rnacentral:rRNA from 1 species
AAAUUGAAGAGUUUGAUCAUGGCUCAGAUUGAACGCUGGCGGCAGGCCUAACACAUGCAAGUCGAACGGUAACAGGAAACAGCUUGCUGUUUCGCUGACGAGUGGCGGACGGGUGAGUAAUGUCUGGGAAACUGCCUGAUGGAGGGGGAUAACUACUGGAAACGGUAGCUAAUACCGCAUAACGUCGCAAGACCAAAGAGGGGGACCUUAGGGCCUCUUGCCAUCGGAUGUGCCCAGAUGGGAUUAGCUAGUAGGUGGGGUAAAGGCU